rnacentral:lncRNA from 1 species
GCAGUCUGUGGCCAAGGUCACACGCGUGCCGCAGCGUCGUCAGUUUCUCACUCUUUGAUCCUCUUGAGAUGCCACGUUGCGUCCUGGGACGUGUCCGCCCAGCUGCAGCCUUCCUCGUUGCAGGCGAGGCGGCGCAGCCCGGAAGCCGUGAGGAAGCAGGAGAGGGGGACCAGCUGUCAGACCUCAAGCCCAUCCACCCUUCCAUUCCUGGGACGGCCUUUAAGACUUCUCGCCCGAUUUUCACAGCAGCCUUACCAGAAGAGCCCAAGUGUAACACGCUGCCGCCUCCUCCUCACUACCCUCCUCCUGCCCCACAGGCCGCCCUGCUAGGGCACACGUCACAUCACACACCAAGGGACCCCACUCUUCAAAGCCUUUGCCCGAUCCCCAGAGGAAGCCAGAGCCAGAGAUCAGCAUGAGCGCCCCACGCCCACGGGCCACUAGGAACUGCUCGCGUUUGUGCUGUCUUGCUGGGCGGGCAGGGGGACGCCAGGGCCGCACACACACUGGGCAAACUCCCCACCCCCAGCCACACCUGCACCCC